AUACGGAGGAUGCGAGCGUUAUCCGGAUUCAUUGGGUUUAAAGGGUGCGUAGGCGGCUUUUUAAGUCAGUGGUGAAAUCUUGCCGCUUAACGGUAAAAUUGCCAUUGAUACUGAUAAGCUUGAGUACAAUUGAGGUAAGCGGAAUGUGUAGUGUAGCGGUGAAAUGCUUAGAUAUUACGCAGAACACCGAUUGCGAAGGCAGCUUACUAAACCAUUACUGACGCUGAGGCACGAAAGCGUGGGGAGC
rnacentral:rRNA from 1 species